CAACAGUUCAGCUUCCCAUUUUGGGACCACAGUCCCCCUCAUUUUCCUCCUCCUCUCAGGCCGAGGGUCUCAAGAACAGAGAUCAUCUUCUUCCUGAAGACAGAGGACAUCACCACACCCUCCUCAACUCUUCUCUGUUCACUCCACUCCUGUGUUGGUAGUCGCUGAAGCAGCUCAUCCAAUGGCACUUCAGACUGAUACUUAGCUACUAAAUAGAAUUUCUUCAAAUCUGGGCACUAACAUUCUGCAUUUUUCAAGGAAUUAAUAGAUCUGUUCCCUUUGAAAAUGUCUUGAAAAUACUUGCUGAUUUCAAAGGAUGCCUGUGAUCGGUAUCAGCCUGCAAACAACUUGG